rnacentral:misc_RNA from 1 species
GAUGAAGAACGCAGCGAAAUGCGAUAAGUAAUGUGAAUUGCAGAAUUCAGUGAAUCAUCGAAUCUUUGAACGCACAUUGCGCCCGCCAGCAUUCUGGCGGGCAUGCCUGUUCGAGCGUCAUUUCAACCAUCAAGCCCCCGGCUUGUGUUGGGGACCUGCGGCUGCCGCAGGCCCUGAAAAGCAGUGGCGGGCUCGCUGUCACACCGAGCGUAGUAGCAUACAUCUCGCUCUGGGCGUGCUGCGGGUUCCGGCCGUUAAACCACCUUCAUAACCCAAGGUUGACCUCGGAUCAGGUAGGAAGACCCGCUGAACUUAAGCAUAUCAAUAAGCGGAAGGA